rnacentral:misc_RNA from 1 species
GAGAUAUUUCAUACAGUGUGGCACUCCUGUUGCUGGGAACGACAACAGUUUAACACAUGAGAAGAUAGUCAAGCCUCUUAGAGCUGUGAGGCUGUGCAGCCCAUUUGGCAGAUUCUCCAAAUUAGGACAACCAAAUAUCAUCAAAUCUUGAAGAUUGCAAGGCAAUUCCCCUACCUGUCCCACUACCAAAGUCACCAGUUGCUUACAAUUCCUGAUAUGUAAAUGCUUUAGAUGGGCAAGUUUGUCAAAACUGCUUCCAUCCUUCCACAAAUACUUUAGUUCAUGACAACGUAUAAUCCACAAUUCUUCUAGUGCCACUAACUCCUCUAUAUGAGCUUCAUGUAAACUUACAAGACCUAAGAUGUCAAUAAUAUGCAAGGUAGUAAGAGAUGUGAGAUCAGACAGACUUCUAAGAACAACCUCUUCACAGCGUUCAAUUGACAGUGCUCGCAAAGAUUGUAGACAGCUGGGCAAUUCAAUAACAAGUUUCGGACAAUUUUGCAAUUCAAGCUUAUGUAGAACAGGAAGUGUUACAGAAGCCUCCUCGUUCCGAUCAUGAGACCAAGACCAUAACUCCAACUCCAACAUAUCCACCAUAGUUAAAGUCUUAAGAGAAGUAAAAGAUGAACCAUCCCCAUGAAACUCCAUGCCCAGUCUCUUCACUCUAUUCAUGCCUCGUAUACUCAACUCUACAAGUGAGGGUAAUUGCCCAAAUGGAGGUAAUGACAUGAUGUUCCGACAGUUCCAGAGUUCUAGCUUUUCAAUUUUUGUGAACGCUCCUAUCCAUGCUGGGAAUUCAGUUCCACCAAAUGAUUUAAUUGAAAGCCGUAAUAGAUUUUGAGGAGGCCUUAAUGAGCUGAGAACCUGCAUAUCGUCACUUGGAUUUCUGGAACCAGAGGAAUCAAUAGCCCAUUCCAAGUCUAGUUGUUCUAGGCACUGCUUCUCUUUUAAAUUGGCAAACUCUGCUUCCUGAAUGUUUACCACAUUUUCUAUCCCUGAAAUAUGAAGCAGCCCAGACAAAUGAGGAAAAUUUUUCAGCUCUAUUAUCUUGAGUCCGUUGUCUUCUCCCACAAUAAACUUGGUCAGCGUGCGAAGAUUUGCCAAAUUACUAAUUUGCAGUGGCAUCUCCUUCAGCUUCUUGGUACCACUAAUAUCAAGGAACAGCAAGCUAAUUAAAUUGCCUAUGCCUAAGGGUAACUCAGUAAGACACUGGCAACCACGUAAUAUUAAUGCUUGCAAGUUCAAUAGUUCAGUCACUGACUCGGGCAAUCUUUCAAUUUGAGUGUAAGAUAGGUUAAGAUACCUUAAAUGCUUUAAGGCACCAAUAGAAUUUGGCAACUCCACAAAGCUAUAACCAGACAGUGACAACACCCUCAAGCACUUUAACUCUGGCACCAAGUCUUGUAGCAGCUUACUAGUUAAGUGGUUUCCACAAUGUCCUCUCAUGAUUGGCAAUGCUAAGAAUGUUCGUAAACCUGUUGCUUCGUGAAAGCCUUCAAAUCUUUGCCAUGUAUCAUACAGAUGAGAAGUGAAUGAUGAAUGCCGAACCUUUGCACAUGAAUUCAUAUUGUCCAACUUGCCACCCAAAUGAAAACAUGUUUCUUUAGUGACAGACUGGGCUAAAUCAUUCAUCAAGUCAUGCAUUACAUAUAAAGAUUUAUCACUACUAGAUUGUUGAAAAAACGAUCUUGAUAAUAAAUCAUGAAAAUAUUCAUGGCCUAAGUCCUCAAUUGGCUUCAUUUCAUUUGGUUGUCGCAGAAAACCUUCUGCCAUCCAAAGUAAAACCAGCUCUUUCUUGUCAAAUUUGUAGUCCUUUGGGAAUACUGCACAGUAAGCAAAACACCUUUUCAAGUGGGAAGGAAGAUGAUGGUAGCUUAACCGCAAAGCUGGAAGUAUACCAUUUUUUUCCUCAGGUAAAUCCCAUAUCUUGCUGUUCAACACUUCUUUCCAGACAUUGCAAUCUAGUUUACCUCUCAAGAGGCCUCCAAGGGCCUUAGCAGCCAAAGGCAAUCCUUGACACCUUUUAGCAAUUUUCUUCCCUAUUUCCUCCAAUUUUGAGUGUGCAUCAAAAUUUUUUGCUCCCAAAGCAUGUUGAGCAAACACAGCCAGACAAUCAUCAUCUGACAACUCCUUAAGAGGAUAAGCUGGAACAUUACCCAUCAUUAAUGAAACACCUUGAUUACGAGUUGUGACUAUGAUUCUGCUUCCUGGUGCCCCUGCUACAAAAGGACCACAAAAGAGAGUCCAAUCAUCAUAAUUCUCACUCCAAACGUCAUCUAAGACAACUAAAAAUUUCUUUCCUGAUAAAUUCUCCUUCAAUUUUACUUGAAGUGAAUCUAAAUCUUUGGCAUCACCAUCUUCUGACUGGAGAAUUGUUUUCGUUAUCCCAAUAACAUCAAAGUGCUCACCCACAGACACCCAGGACUUAAAAUCAAAGUCUAAUGUAGCAUCAUUAAAGAUGAGUUGAGCAAGAGUUGUCUUGCCUAUGCCUCCCAUACCAAUUAUAGGAAUAACACAAAUUUCUGCACCACUUACUUCAGUCUUCAGUAGUACAAGUAACGCCUUCAGAUCGUCUUCUCUUCCAUAAACCUUUGCUUCAUUCACCAAUGACGUUGAGGGCUGUCUUUCUCUCACACGGUUGCUUCUUCUUCCCGUGCUCUCUCGUAGAUCCAGGUCGUGUUUUCCUGCUGUGAUCUUUUCUAAUCUGGCAGUAAUUUCCUCCAUCUUGGAAAGCAGCUUGGAGUUGAACUUUACUGUUCUUGGAUUUACUCCAAAACAAGUUGGUAUGGAUUUCUUCACCUUAUUUGUGAUAGCUAGAGGUUUUACUACCAGCCUCCGUCGCAAAGCCUCAGUAGCAAACUCAUCAAGUACGUCCUCCACAUCAUAAGCCAAGUUUCUAAGCUCGCUAACCCAGAUUUUCACCAACUGGUUAGUCAACUGCUUC